AGUCCGGUGCUGGGAAAGGCGAUUCAUGGAGGUCUUGGACUCUUGGGAUAUUCUUCUCGCAUCACUCCCUUUCUCUCUUCUCUUCCUCCUUCGCUCUAUUUCACAUUAUCUUAUCCUCGAUUCAAGAAGUCUCCCAGCUCCGACUCUCCGCUGCAGGAUCUUCGUCACGGCUACAUCGGGGGGAAUCGGUCGGUAAAGAAGGGUCUUGGGAUAAUUCUCUCUUAUCCUCCUCCUUCGUUCCUAUUCCAGAUUAUCGUAUCCUGGAUACAAGAAGUCUCCCAACCCUGCGGUUGGUUUUCUUUAUCAAGAUCCUUCUCUUUCUUCUUCUUCUUACCGUUGUUCAUGUAGACGGAUUAUGGCCAUUAUGUUAAGCUUCUUUAUCUCUUCCUUUUUCUUUUCUAGGGUUUUUCUUGCUUCUUUUCUUCAUUUUUUUUGCUGUUAGUUUUACAAGAAGAGGCUGUGAUGAUUCCUGAACGAGGGUUUGCUGCAUUGGGAAGCGGAAAACGGCUAUGUCUAACGGCAAAGCGGAAUCUUGGAUGCUCUGCUGUUCGGUUUGCUGCCUUCUUGCUUUAUCUGGGGGACGUCUUGAGGCUAAGAACGCGAAUAAAUGGUGAAUUCGAGCCAAUUUUUCCUCUUCCUUUUCUUCUCUUUUCUAAGUCGGCGUUUUUUUUCAAGAUUUUGUUUUUAAGGUUUCGUGAAUUUCUUUUGCUGCUGUUUAUCUCAUCUGAUGAGUUGUUCUUGUGGUUCCUCAAGAAUUCAUAGGAUAUGGAGGUCAAUGGAGGAUAUAAGGUAGGGUUUUUAGAACCCAAUUCCUCAAAUUAUAUUAUGUUGGUCACUGAAAAUUAGGGAUUGUUUGCUUCCAAUUAGAUUUGUAAAGGUUUUGAAGAAUCUAUCGCCUUCCAACGACGAUUUCUCAAAUUUCUUGAUUCAUCAAUUUUUUACUCCUUUUUUACUAAUUUUUCUUGGGAAAUGAAGGCGCGCUGUCUUGCAUGGAUUCCCUUUUCCUCCAUCUCUUUACUCCUUUCCUUCUUUUCUCUCCAAGCAAUAAUAUGUCAGUCGACAACUUGGAAAAGCUCCCAUACCAUACUCCAGAGCAAAUUCUUUGUUGUACAGACCUGGCACUGCUUUUUUUCUAAUGCGGCUUUCAUACGGGAUGACCGGGGCUCAUGAUAACUUAAGUUCUAUCUUGUUUUCAUAAAAAAUUUUAGCCUCCUUAUUGCAGGAGUUGAAGGAGUCCUUAGAAAUUUUUCUGAAGCUGGUAUUGAAGAAGCCCAUCCGCUUCAACUUCCCCUUGAUGAUGCAAUAGAAUCCCUCAAAUGAUUUAUGCUGCUGCUUUAUGUGCUUUUAUUUUUCUCAAUCUUCCUACUCAUCUCUGCAAACUUAAUGGUAGUUUGCUCUGCUUAUGUGCUUUUAUGCUUCAGACACCAGGAUCACACUCCCUGCUGCUCUCAAGUGGUGUUUCAAGUGCUACUGCAUUAAUUUCUGUGCUGCCUGUUCAGAUUUGAGGGUAAUGUUGGUGCUACUUUAACGGGCAUAGCAGGGCUUAGGGUAGUUGCUAUGGUUCUUGCUGUCUUUUCAGUCAGGUAAGUAAGAACUUGCUCAUGUACAUCAUUACAUCAUUCUAUAUUGUUAGCAACAAAAGAUUUUUUAUUAUUAAAGCUUGCAGAUACUUUACUGAUAUAGCAAGCCCUGAUGCUGCAAUUUAUAAAGGGAUAGAGAAGUGUAGAGUGUGCAGUGAAUGGAGCCAUUAAGAUCUUGACAGUUGCAGUAUUAUUCAUACUUCAGAUAUUGGCAUAUUUUCUUUUCUUAAAUAAAAUAAGGUCUUUCAACCCCCCAAAAAAACAUAACUUUGUGACUGUUGUGGUUAUUGUGGUACCAAAACUGCUUACGUUGGCUGUCACCUUCACCUUGAUAUAAGUACACAUGAUUUCUCUGGUACAUAUCUUUCUUGAACUUAAAUACAGAUGUUUCCUGGCAUAUAUGCUUGGAUGGUGUUCAAAUGAUUGCAUUACAGGUGCUUAGGCUUUCAGCAUGUGAAACUAUGGGGUCAGCUGCAACUAUUUGCAGUUAUAAAAGGAGCUUUGACCCUUAAUUAGGCAUACAUUGGUGGGAGGAAGAUAGAUCCUCUAGAAGAUGUGGAAUUGAGAUCUUCAACUGCAUUCUAUUUUUCAGUCGAAGGAAUUGCUCAGAAUACAACUGUCGGUAUAUUUGAGCCAGAGAGUGGCUGAACUAUUGAGGAUACUAGUUCACCUACUGAAAAGGCUAUCCUUUAUUGGGCAGUUCAGGUUGAUAUCUUCAAUUCUUCAAGUCUUCCCCCUUUAAUUCUGAGAAAAAGCAUGGUGGUGCUGCAGUACACGUGGGAGAUUCUGAAGUUCACUUGCAUUGGAGAGGUGCUGCUGAAAUUGUUCCUGCUGCAUGCAGAGCUGGCCUGAACCAGAUGGUUUGGCUCAGCCAAUGACUUCAGACAAGGAUCCUUGUAGGCCUAGGGUCAGAGAUGCUGGAGAGAUGCACUCAUGCAGGUUUCAAGAUGCUUUGCCAAUAAGUUGGUAUUCUUGGUCAGUCGAAAUAAUCUUCAGAAAGCGAAGCUAUAGCUUUGGUGUUCUGGAUACUUACAGAUGCCGAUGCCUCAGAGCCAACUGUUAUAUAGGGAAAAGUAUUUCGAGCCAUGACUGAUUCAGGAAGAGGGAGAAUUGCUGAGAAAAUAUUUGUAAGACAAACACUACCAUUCUUUUAUGUAUUAAAGCGAAGUCCAUUGUUAAGAUUUUGUCAAGAUAUCAUAAAAGUAACAUUAUAGAGCAUUAUUUUUUGUAAGUACCAGCCACGAGGCAUGUGCAAUGCAUGUCGGAGGGAAGAGAAAACAGAGAGUCAAAUCUAUUUAGGAGUAAAUUCAAAGAAUUCAAUCUACAUGGAAGCCAAAUUAGAGAAAGAAAUUGUAUCCGUUUUCUUUGGUGAUUUAGGGUAAACUAAUAGGCGAAUCGAGUCCAACUAAUAUCCAUCAAGAUAAUUUCUCAUGUUAUUAACUUUCUGACGUCAUUACUGGAUCCUAACCAGUCGUCUUCUGUGUUCCACCUCAUUUGUUUUACUCUGUUUGAUUUAAUAUCGGUGGUGACUUUUUUGGGUACUGAAUUUGUUGGCUCUCAGGAUCCUUGUAGGCCUGGGGUCAGAGAUGCUGUAGAGAAUGCACUCAUGCAGGUUUCAAGAUGCUUUUCCAAUAACUUGGUAUGGCAUAACAGACAAGCAAGUUUACAGUCAUUAUCAGUUGCCCCGGGAAUCUUUGGCCUCAAUUGACUUUGAUGUCAAAGUCAAGUAUGAAACUGGCUCAGCAUAGGCAGUUGAUUGCUUAACUUAUUGGUCAAUCAGUCGUUGAAUGUUUGUUAGCAUGUUAAUACUGUAACAAAAAUUUGUCUUUCAUUAGCAAGGUUCAUUUUGAAAUUAGCAUCAAGAGGCCAUCUUCAAUAAGCUAUGCUAUUAUUAUCUAUUUAGAAAAUUUUCAACCAUGCAGAGGAGAUGUGUUUUCCUUUCAUGUUUUAAUAAAUAUUAUAAAUUUGAUUUAACAUUUUGAAUAACUAGGUAUUCUUGGUCGGUCGAAAUAAUCUUCAGAAAGCUGAAUUUAUAGCUUUGGUGUUCUGGAUACUUACAGAUGCCAAUGCCUCAGAGCCAACUGUUGUAUAGCGAAAAGUAUUUUGAGCCAAGACUGAUUCAGGUAGAGGGAGAAUUGCUGAGAAAAUAUUUGUCAGACAAACACUAACAUUCUUUUAUGUAUUAAAGUGAAGUCCAUUGUUAAGAUUAUGUCAAGAUAUCAUAAAAGCCACAUAAUAGAGCAUUAUUUUUUGUAAGUACUAGUCACGAGGCAUGUGCAAUGCAUGUUGGAGGGAAGAGAAAACGGAGAGUCAAAUCUAUUUAGGAGUCAAUUCAAAGAAUUCAAUCUACAUGGGAGUCAAAUUAGGGAAAUAAAUGAGGUCCAAUUUGUUUGCAAGUUUUAUGGGAGGGAUCCGAUUUGAUUGGAAAAUGAGGAGAUGAAGUGUGUGUAGUUAAGAUAGGCAAAAAGUAAGUGUGAUAAUUAACAUAUUUAUAAAAUAAAUAGGAGAGCAUUGUCGGUAUAAAAAGCAGCAUGCGGAAUCAGGAAGGAAAAUUCCUUGAUUACAAAACUCUCAUUUUUAUCAAUAGUAUAGAUUUUUAGUUUAAUUGUUAUUGAAAUGGUGAUUGGUAUGAUAUACAAAGAAAUCUAGAAUCAGUUGGUAUUGGUUUAGGAUCAGAUUGACUCAAGUCAAAACCAAAAUGUGAUAGACUAGCAUGACAUGCUUAGUGAAACAACAUGCUAGCUGCUUAUUUGCCAAAAACUUGCAUUUGAAAUUGCUAAUUUGUCUGUAUUGAUAAAAGGAGAGUGACAGUUUUGUCUUAUAUUUGACCUGUCAAACAGAACUCACUGUGGUGAUUAUAUGCAUGGUGCACUAUGUCAAUAACUUGUGCUAAUUCUCUUUCAUAUCCUUGUUUGAUCAUUUUGUAUGGCUUCAUCUUGUGUAAGCAGCUUCUUUGGGUCAAUCUCAUCAUGAACCCGGUUGGAGCACUUGCGUGGUAAACAAACCAACAACAAAUCACCUUGUGGACAUACCUGCUGGUUGAAGUUUAGGAAUGUUUGUAAACAUGGUGGACCAUAACAAGAACCUGCUCUAUUCUCAUUCAUAUCUUUGUUUGAUCAUUUUGUAUGGCUUCAUCUUAUCUAAACAGCUUCUUUUUGCCACUGUCAUCAUGUACACGGUUGGAACACUUGCAUUGGUUGCCAUCCCUAUGGUCUUGGUCAUGACUCAUGAGCCUCCCUAGAAAGCCUUCUUCUCGUGAAGUGGAAGAAAAUGUGAGUCUCGUCCAAUUAGCUUACUGAUCUAGGAUUCUGAGAGAGAUACUGAGAAAGCGGAAGACAUUGAUGCUCUCUUUGACCCAACUUCUGACUUUCUUUGCCAAUUAGAUGCUGGAAGGGCUGAUGGUCAAAUUCUCUAACAGCAAGGCAAGCUUGGAUGGUCUGCCAUUUUGCAGGCAACUUGUUGUAGCUGUUCGCAGAUGGUCUAAGACUCACAGAGUGCCUGAGAAACCGGUGGAUUUGUGCCUCCAUUUUCUUUUUCUUCUGUCUGUUUGUUUGUUUGCUAGUUUUUGUUUUCUGCUGAUUGGGUUCUCAAGUUCUCAGAAUUUCAUAUGACAUAGUGGUGGAUGAAAGAUUGGGGGGUAGAUCUCAUAGAAAUAAAGCAGCUAGGUUAUGGGAAUGCAAAUGCUUACUUCAUUAUAAUAAGGUUGGUAAAACCUUACAAAAUUGUUUGUCUGAUGUAUGGCAUGCAGUGGUUUUGAAUCUGAAGCAUUAAAAAAUAAACUCUUAUCUGAAAUGAUGACUAUGGUUAUUAUUGUUGUAACUUUGAAUUAGAGAUUUUCUUAGGUUCUUUCUUGACUCAUGUCUCCACUUUUCUCAUUUUAUCACCAGAUAUGAAGUUUGUAUUAAGUUGAUCUUUUUUAUAAGAAUUUUAAAUUAUGAUGUUUAACCCCUUCAUUUUUCCUUUUCCUCUUCUUGUUGAGGAUUGCUGGUGCACCCCAUUCACUGCACUCUCAAAACUCAAAAGCAAAAUGAGCGGAAAAAGUUACAGGAAGAAGAGUGGAUUACAAGCUUGAAGUUGUCCAACAAUUGCAAGGGGAUCUCCCAGUGGGACGCCUGAACCAUAUCCAUGUCUACCAAGAUGAGGUGCAUCAUGGCUGCUGCACAAAUUUCUAUACUUGUUUGGAGUUGAUAAGAAAGUUUUCCACUACGGCCAUCCCUGAAAUAUUCCUUUUCUUCUUGAACAUAUUAGCUUUCUCGUCUCAGUUUUUUCAGUUGCAGAGAGUUAAAAACAUGCAAUGCUGGAUGAAAUGGUGAAUAUGAGCCUCCUCUUCCUUCCCGUCCCAUUUUAACCUCUCUAAUUAUGAAGACAACUUGAAAGAUCUCCAUGCUAUUUGCAAACACCAGCUGUAUCCAGAGGGCCCAUGCAGACCAACUGCUGUAUAAACUGGUUUCCCAUGCAUCUCUUGCCUCAUGUGCAUUAGGAAUUUUGCGAUCCUGCAUAGAAAACUUCGUGGGCUGCAUGCUAAAAGAGGCCAUGAUUGAUUUGCUGGCUCAUGUUUUUAUGCUUUGACACCCCAAUGGCAAACUGUAUCCCCUGCUUCUACAAAGUGGAGGUGUAUUAAGGGCUACAAUAUAAAUGACCUGCUUCAAUUUGAUAAGUUACUCUUUCCCUUCCGCUGUUGGUGAAGUAUUCCUUCUUGAACAUAUUAGUAUUUGUUUUCAGCAGGAAGUUAUCCAUGACAGUAAAUUAUUUGCCACGUAUUCUUCAUGGCUAUUUUGAACAACCAGCAGCCAGUCCGAUUCUUUUAAAAUUAAAUUUUAUGCUUAUGUAAUAUUAUUUGCUACUUGAAUGGAAAGGGAAGUAGGAAAUAAAAUAGAAAAUCAUAUCAGUCAUACUUUGGAUGGUCUAUUCUUCUGCAAGCAAUCAUUGCAGCCUGCUAAAGAACUGCAAAAAUCUGGAUGACUCCUCCUCCCAGACAGGACAACUUUUCUUUUUCAGCCUUGAUAUUCUUUUCCUUAUUUUCUGAUAUAAUUAUACAUUAUUUCGAUGGCUUUGGCUUAUGAGGUUAUUUCUGAUAUCAGCAGUAGUUUUUUCUUUUCUUUUGACCUAUUUCAGUCAGUGAGAGUGCCACCAACUCCAGCACUCGCAAUACAGUAGUAUCACCCUACAGAUGUGCCCAGGAAUGUCAUCUCAGAACCAAGUUUGCCUGCUCUUAGGAUUUAUUUUCUUCCUGACAAUCGUGUUAAUUAUAUGUUUUAAGUAACUUUACAUGGUGAUUGACUAUUCUAAGGAUCGACCAGUCAUCAUUUCACCAAACAAAAGAUGAUGUGGUGCUUUUUUUGUUUGGUUAAAUUUGAUAAAGUCGUUGACUCGUUGUAUUAUAGUUGGAUGUGGUCCAGCUCCAUUAAUCAUGCUCUCAGUAUCUAGUCUCCAAAAGGCAGGGGAGGCCUGGUCAUGGUGAGGCAUCUAUAGGCAGUCCACGGGUGGAGCUACCCGCCUGCUUCAGCUUGAAUCUUACUCAGAUAUCCAAGUACUUUCAAAACCACUAGAAGGCUGAUAAUGAUGCUUCGAGCUAGUUAGUUUAUCUGUGAACAUGGCCACCUAGUAGCUUGGUGCAGGGUGAAGUUUUUAUCUUGUGGCAUUACUAACAUGUUGCAGAGUUGUGGACAACAGGAACAACGGUGAAAUGAUCUUUAUUGCCUACAGCAUGAAGGACUAUAUUGGUGCCAAUCCAGACACAACUAGAUUGGUGUCAACCAAAGCAUGAGCCUCUUAAGAGUCCUCAAAAAGAGUCAGGGUUAUAUGAGAUCACUGCGAUGCUCUUGCAGAGAACAGUAGAGACAUCUGACGCAGAACGGAAGGUUUCACGGAUGCUCUUCCUGUGUAAGGGAUAUUUUAUAUAAUAUUUUAUAAGAACAUCAAAGAAAAGGGGGAAAGUUCUCAAAACUCAGUCAAUCCUUAUGAAACUGUUUAGUGCAUAAUAAGUGCUUGGAGUGAAGACCAUCUGCCUUGGGUGCAACUUUGGUUUUGCUCAACAUGAUUGGUAGAUUUGGAUCAAGGUUUGUAAAUUUGGAUCGAGCUCGAGCUCAAAAAUUUCAACUCAAUCUUUAAGAAGGGUUAGGCCAGAGUUGAAUUUAAA